GACGAACGCUGGCGGCGUGCUUAACACAUGCAAGUCGAACGGUAAGGCCCUUCGGGGUACACGAGUGGCGAACGGGUGAGUAACACGUGGGUGAUCUGCCCUGCACUUCGGGAUAAGCCUGGGAAACUGGGUCUAAUACCGGAUAGGACCACUGCCUGCAUGGGUGGUGGUGGAAAGCUUUUGCGGUGAGGGAUGGGCCCGCGGCCUAUCAGCUUGUUGGUGGGGUGAUGGCCUACCAAGGCGACGACGGGUAGCCGGCCUGAGAGGGUGACCGGCCACACUGGGACUGAGAUACGGCCCAGACUCCUACGGGAGGCAGCAGUGGGGAAUAUUGCACAAUGGGCGCAAGCCUGAUGCAGCGACGCCGCGUGAGGGAUGACGGCCUUCGGGUUGUAAACCUCUUUCAGCACCGACGAAGCGCAAGUGACAGUAGGUGCAGAAGAAGGACCGGCCAACUACGUGCCAGCCGCCGCGGUAA
rnacentral:rRNA from 1 species